rnacentral:rRNA from 1 species
ACGAACGCUGGCGGCGCGCCUAACACCUGCCAGUCGAACGAGCGAGAGAGAGCUUGCUUUCUCGAGCGAGUGGCGAACGGGUGAGUAACGCGUGAGGAACCUGCCUCAAAGAGGGGGACAACAGUUGGAAACGACUGCUAAUACCGCAUAAGCCCACGGCUCGGCAUCGAGCAGGGGGAAAAGGAGCAAUCCGCUUUGAGAUGUCCUCGCGUCCGAUUAGCUAGUUGGUGAGGUAACGGCCCACCAAGGCGACGAUCGGUAGCCGGACUGAGAGGUUGAACGGCCACAUUGGGACUGAGACACGGCCCAGACUCCUACGGGAGGCAGCAGUGGGGAAUAUUGCACAAUGGGGGAAACCCUGAUGCAGCGACGCCGCGUGGAGGAAGAAGGUCUUCGGAUUGUAAACUCCUGUUGUUGGGGAAGAUAAUGACGGUACCCAACAAGGAAGUGACGGCUAACUACGUG